GCUGGUCCGCCCCCUUCGGAAGGGAAAAUACCCUGGCCCACAGACCUGCUCCAGCAGCCUAGCUGACCCCAAAUCAUGUGUGUGUGUGUUUGGGGGGUGGGAGUUAGUGGGACGGAAAGAAAGCAGGCUGGAAGAGUUGAGUCCUGCGGCUGCAACCCCGGGAGAUGCUACAACAGUGACCUCAGCCCUCUUACUGCCCCCCAUGGGGAACAGGAGACAUGGGUCUGGGAGAGAAGACGAAAAGACUGAGGAUCAGAAAUGUGAAAAGCAGCUUUCUGAAGGGCCCAAGGUCAAAAAGCGAUGAAGCCAAAAAACAGGACACUGGGGAUGACCAAACCCUGCACCUGUGCACAGCUUGUUCUCUCUCUGCUCUGCCAUGGACCUCCUUUUAGACUUUGGAAGCCUCCCCAUCAUCCACUGGACAACAGGAAUAGCCACUCUGUCCACUCAGGAACACUGGAAUCCUCCACAGCCCCCACCCAACUCUGACAGCUCUUAGAGCCAGUUUCUGGAUGUUCAGCAAGGAACUAGGUUCCUUCUGACCCCAUCUGGUCCUGCCUCAAACACAAUAUUCAGGAUGCAAAAGAUGUGGAGAAAAGCAUUCCAGGCAGUGUGAACAGAAGAGGUGGUGGCCCUAAAGCAGCAAGCAACAUGAAAAUUCCAGGAACUGAAAAUCAGCCUGUUCAGCAGGUACAGAGUGAAUGAGGAAGAGGAUAUGAUGAUGAGGUGAAGAGGUGCAGGGCCAGGCCACACAGGGCCUUGCAGCCCCUGGCAAGAAUUAUGGAAUUUGAUUCAAGAACAGUGGGACACCACGAGAGAGUUUUAAGCAGGGAAAUGACAUGAUUUUGUGAACAUUUUCAUGGAUGAUUAUGGCUGUGGUGGUGGGGGUACACCAAAGAGCCAGAGGGUGAGGGAGUCAGCCAUGAGGAAGCUGAUACAGUGUCCACAUGAGGGAUGAUGAGGACAGAACCAGGAAAGUGGCAGUGGGGGAGGAAAGAAGGAGGUGCCUCUGGAAGAAAUUUUCUGUGCAGACAAAACAGGAUUUGGUAGCUAGAUAAAUCUGGGGUGUGGAAGAGAGGAAGGAGUCAAGAGUGAGCCCAGCUACUUGGAAGUAGUUCCUGCAUAGGAAGAUGGGGGAGGAGGGAGAGCUUAAGCUCGGAUGAGAAAGAUCAGGGCCCAGAGAGACAAGAACCUUAAGGAUGGAUUUGAUGUUGUAGAUGGAAGGCUGCUGAGAGGGAGGUUCUGAGUGAGGAAGAGCCACCAGGGACUGGUAUGGAGACUGGCUGGUGGGGUGAAUCUGGAGGCAGGAUGACCAGUGCUGAGAGUGGACACUGGUCCAGGCAGCCAGGGAAGACUGAAACAUGAGGUGAAGGUGAGGAUACAAACUCAAUCUACAGUCACUAGGGACCAGGAGAUCAAAGGGCGGGGGGGGAUGCUAGGCUAUCUCUGACGGACAUUGGGAAGGGGAACAAAUUUGGGGGAAGAUCAGAAAGAAGCACCUUGGAAUCAGUAAGGUCUAUGGAUCAGACAACCAGUGAUGCUUAAUAAACCACACUGACACAAGACACUGGACAUACCCACUACUACCCGAGCUUCCCAAAUCCACCAGAAUGUACAGUCACCUCAAGUAAGAAGAGAAGUUCUGUGCUGUGGCUCAAAAAAACAUAAAAAUCAGAAGACCAGGUUGCUGUUUUACAACUGGACAUCUGAUGAUUUAGGGACAGCCUCCCUGUACACUCUCGGCCUCAGUUUCCCAACUCUAAGAGGAAGGUAGGCUAAAGGGAUACUUCUUUCAGCUCUAAAAUUCUGUGGCUUGAAAGAAGCAAGAAAGGUAAGAAAGACUGAUGAUCAGCUCAAACAGAAAGAGAAUGAAUUGCAGGUCUACUCUAUGGAAGACCUCACUGAGUUUAUUUAGAAUCCCUUGAUUCCUCACUGCCACCUUAGAAGUAAGGACUCUUAAUAUCCCAUUUUAAAGAUGAGGAAAUUGAGGCCCACAGUCACCUGAAGUCUUGCUGACCCCCAAGCCUGUGCUUAAAUUGCUGUGUUGAGCUCAUUGCUCUUACCCUAACACAUGUCUCUCUCAGAUUGUAGGUCCCCCAAGAACACAGUCCUUCAUUUCCAUUGCCACAUACUCACUGGUCUCCAAAGGAGCAGAUUCCUAGAGUCUCGUCACUGUACCCAUGGACAUCCCCUGCUGCACCCAGACUUUCCAUUGCACGUGUGCACACACAUGCACAUGCACACAUGCAUCCUGCUCUGCUCCAGCUCUGACUUCCCCUCUUCCAGCAUCUCAGUGACCACUAUUGUCUCCCCUGUGCAGGGAGCUGUCCAAAGGCUGAAAUGAAUCUCCUUAGUCCAGACCCUUAUCCUUGUCCACCCAGGGCCUUCUGGGGACUCCUAGAUGCCCCCAGGACAAAUCAAAUCCCCAUACCAUGGCCUCAAGAGCUCUGAAGGGCCUCUAUCCACACAAGCACCAAACUCCAGCUACACUGGAGGAACUGAGUUCAUCCCCACCUUGGGGCCUUUGACCUGGUUGAUGCUCUUGAAUGCCACUCACCUCCUCCCAGUUUUCUCAUCCUUUAGGAUUCAGCUUGGAGCCGGGUGUGGUGGCGCACAUCUAUAAUCCUAGUGGCUUGGGAGGCUGAGACAGUAGGAUCACAAGUUCAAAGCCAGCCUCAGCAAAACUGAGGCUCUAAGCAACUCAGUGAGGCCCUGUCUCUAAAUAAAAUACAAAAUAGGGCUGGGGAUGUGGCUCAGUGGUUGAGUGCCCCUGAGUUCAAUCCCUGGUACCUUCCUCCCUACCAAAUAAGAUUCAUCUCAGAGGUCACUUCCUUAGAGGGCACUAUAUUCAUCACAUUCUACUAUAAUAUUCAUUUUUAUUUUCUUCAUGGGCUUUUGAAUUUAAUUACUAUCUAGCUGUUUUAGUAUUUUGACAUCUAAAAUGUAAGCUCUCUGAAAGCAGGUGUUCUUUUCUGUUUUCUUCACCAUGGUAUCCUAAUGUUAUCAGUGCUGGGCUUGAACCCUGUUAUUGUUGAAUGAGCAAUUCCCUCCAGGCUUCCAUGGCCCACAAACUGAAGUCUAUGGCUGGAUCUCCAAGCCCAAAUGGAUAUGCCCCCUGUCAACCUCUUCAGCCAUUUGCCCUCUGAGUUCACCUUCAAGCUUUGCUCAGCAACAAGGAUUACGAUGCGUGCCGUGUCCCUCCUGCCUGCUUUAUCUUCCACACAGAUUCUACCCCUGCUCAAAUCUCCCCUCUCUGGAAGCCUUCCCUGACUCCACCAGAAACCCAAUCAAUAGGAAGGACCCCAGUCUUCCUACAGGAAGACUGGGCCUUAGCACUAUUCAUACUGUCUUGAGUUGCUUCCCAGUGAGGCUGUCCCCUGCAGCCUGUGAUAUUCUUAAGGAUAGGACUGGGUUCGAUUCAUUAUUGUUGAGUUGGGACCCAGCAUAUAUCCAGGGCUCCAAAAUGUAUUGAAUGAGGACAUUUUCCCCAUAGACUAAGUAUAAGUAUACAUAUACAUGAAUAUUAUGACUAGUUGGAGGGUUAGACAGAUUAAAUGGGUUCUCCCACUUAUUUGCCUUAUAACUAGGUCAAGGACUUCCCUCUCUGAGUUGCAGGUUCCUUAUCUGUGAAAUGGAGGCAGUAACACAGGAUGACAAGAACUUCAUUCAUGUUAAGUAUAAACUUGCCAUCAUGCCAUAAGUACAAAAGAGUUCAUUAAAUCAAGGUCUGAGUGAAGGGAAGGGAGGGGAUGUGGGGGUGGAAAGGAUAAUAGAAUGAAUUGGACAUUAUGACCCUAUGUGCAUACAUGAUCACAUGACCUGUGUGACUCUACAUCAUGUACAACCAGAAGAAUGAGAAGUUAUACUCCAUUUAUGUAUGAUGUGUCAAAAUGCAUUCUACUGUCAUGUAUAACUAAUUAGAACAAAUAAAUUUUUUUUAAAUCAAA